rnacentral:lncRNA from 1 species
CACCUAUCUCCACCCCCUUCUCCUCUGGCCUCCCCGGCUGUACCGGACCCCUCCUUCUGCUCCCCAUUCUCCCGUGAUCGCUCCCCCAUUUCCCUGUUCUCCCCUGCCACCCCUUGCUUCCCAUGUCCCCACUUCCUUGCCCGUUUCUUUCCCAUGCUUUUCUUUUCCUUUUCCUCUGGCUCCCCCAUUUCCUCCCCAGACCCCUGCUCUACAGGCCGCCCCCACCCAAGCCUUCAGCAAAGGCCUCGCUCCGGUCUCAUCUUCCAAAGAGACCCCUGCUCAAGUUCCGGACAAGAUUUCUCCUCCCCAGACCUCUACUUCUGACGGGACCCCAGCUAAGGCUGCAGGUAACAGUCUGGCAUUGGCGUCUCCUCCCCUGACCCCUCCCCCUCCUCCAGCGUCAGGUAAACUCUGCCUUUGCCAGCCAGACCCCUCGGCCUUGCCAGUCCAGCCGGCACUCCCCGGUCCCUCACUCCCGAGAAAUGGGACUUCUUCUCCCCCUCCCCCUCAAGCCCCUGCUCCAGCAGGCCCUUCAAGGCUCUUUUCUUUAAGGGAAGUACAUGCCUCGCCUGACGGGACACUUAGGAGGCACAUUCCAUCCUCUAUCUCAGACCUGAAGCAGAUUAAGGAAAGGCUGGUCGGUACUCUGAAGAUCCCACUAAAUUCACUGAGGGCUUCGGGGAUGUGUCCCUGCAAUUCGAACUUUCUUGGGGUGAUCUGCAUGUCCUCUUCUCCACCUGUUGUACCACUGAGGAGAGGAAGAGAAUCUGGGAACAAGCUCAGAAAUUUGGGGAUCGUUUUGCUAGCAAUGAACCUACAAAACAGCCCCCAGGAACAGCUGCUGUUCCCGCUGGUGAUCCGGGGUGGGAAUAUCAGAAGAGUGAGGAGAGGGGAAAGAGUGAUACGUGAUAGUUUGCCUGUUAGAAGGCCUGAAAACAGCAUUUCAAAGGCAAGUAAACUUUCAGAAGAUUAAUGGAAUUACUCAGGGAGAAAAGGAAAACCCUGCCCUUUUCCAAAAUAGGCUAGUAGAAGCCAUUAAAAAGUAUACAAAUUUAGAUCCUGACUCUACUGAAAUGGCAGCUGUCCUUAGCAUGUAUUUCAUUAACCAGUCUGCCCCAGAUAUGAGGAG